UGCCCGCACCUGCCAUAAAGCAGCCGACUGGACUCUUUCUCCAGGGCUUUCUCAUCAUAUUACAAAGGUGGUUUUGAGCAGAUGUCCAGACGAGAGGCCAGCCUCAUUCUUGGAAUCAGCCAGUACUAAGUCCAAGGUGUGAGGCCCAUGGCAGAAUCAUAGACUUGAACCAUCCAGAUAAGGGUGGGUCACCAUAUCUCAAUGCUAAGAUCAACGAGACCAAAGACCUUUUGUACAAGGAGACACGGCGAUCACCUGCACCUCAGAUGUCCAUCACCUCAUCCAGAACUCAGCUCUGUGGCACUGCUUUCAACAUCAGCACCACAUCUGGACUUCCAUUCGGGCUCCUGGAAGGUGAUAGAAAAUGUUCCUUAUUUAAGCUGGUUACAUAACUUAGCUGGAACUAUAUUUAUAAAACCUGUGAACACAUCAACAAAGAGUUAGUGUUACUAUCUUAAAAUCCCAGUCAUUGGAAAUAUUCUAGGGGAAGGCAUAAGUAAGGAAUGCUGUUGUUCUACAUGAGCAGAAUGCUGUUGAGUUCACGAUUUGCUGUGUAUAACAUUUUGGUAUGUGUACACAAGUCAGCAUACAAGUAAGGCAUUACCUAAUUAUGUAUUCUAUGUAAUUAAG